UCCUACAACAAUUAUGUGCCACAGUUUGAACUUCAAAACGGAAAAAUUUCAAUGAAGACAUCAGAGGGAUUAUGCAUUGCCAGUUACAUAGAGAAAAGGAAUCUGAAUACCAGUUUCAAAGAUUUGAAACAACUGUGGGGAAGCAAUCGUACAGGAAUAUGGACCGGAGUAAUUGGAGAGAUUGAAAGAGGUGAAUCUGACUUGGGAAUACCUUUUUUGGAUACACAGUAGAAAGGUCAGCUGUUGUAAAAUAUUCACAAGUUCUCAGUGUUAUUAGCAUAGUCUGGGUAUCCAAGUAUCCCAAGAGAGCAGCUUCAUUUACCAAUGUCCUGCAGGU